CAGUAGCCGCGGUAAUACGAAGGGGGCUAGCGUUGUUCGGAUUUACUGGGCGUAAAGCGCACGUAGGCGGACUUUUAAGUCAGGGGUGAAAUCCCGGGGCUCAACCCCGGAACUGCCUUUGAUACUGGAAGUCUUGAGUAUGGUAGAGGUGAGUGGAAUUCCGAGUGUAGAGGUGAAAUUCGUAGAUAUUCGGAGGAACACCAGUGGCGAAGGCGGCUCACUGGACCAUUACUGACGCUGAGGUGCGAAAGCGUGGGGAGCAAACAGGAUUAGAGACCCCGGUAGUCCCUGUCUCUUAUAC
rnacentral:rRNA from 1 species